AGCGAACGCUGGCGGCAGGCCUAACACAUGCAAGUCGAACGAACUCUUCGGAGUUAGUGGCGGACGGGUGAGUAACACGUGGGAACGUGCCUUUUGGUUCGGAAUAACUCAGGGAAACUUGUGCUAAUACCGAAUGUGCCCUUCGGGGGAAAGAUUUAUCGCCAUUAGAGCGGCCCGCGUCUGAUUAGCUAGUUGGUGAGGUAACGGCUCACCAAGGCGACGAUCAGUAGCUGGUCUGAGAGGAUGACCAGCCACACUGGGACUGAGACACGGCCCAGACUCCUACGGGAGGCAGCAGUGGGGAAUCUUGCGCAAUGGGCGAAAGCCGGACGCAGCCAUGCCGCGUGAAUGAUGAAGGUCUUAGGAUUGUAAAAUUCUUUCACCGGGGACGAUAAUGACGGUACCCGGAGAAGAAGCCCCGGCUAACUUCGUG
rnacentral:rRNA from 1 species